AACGAACGCUGGCGGCAGGCCUAACACAUGCAAGUCGAGCGAGGACUUCGGUCCUAGCGGCGGACGGGUGAGUAACGCGUGGGAACGUGCCCUUUGCUUCGGAAUAGCCCUGGGAAACUGGGAGUAAUACCGGAUGAGCCCUUUGGGGGAAAGAUUUAUCGGCGAAGGAUCGGCCCGCGUUGGAUUAGGUAGUUGGUGGGGUAAUGGCCUACCAAGCCGACGAUCCAUAGCUGGUUUGAGAGGAUGAUCAGCCACACUGGGACUGAGACACGGCCCAGACUCCUACGGGAGGCAGCAGUGGGGAAUCUUAGACAAUGGGGGAAACCCUGAUCUAGCCAUGCCGCGUGAGCGAUGAAGGCCUUAGGGUUGUAAAGCUCUUUCAGCUGGGAAGAUAAUGACGGUACCAGCAGAAGAAGCCACGGCUAACUCCGUG
rnacentral:rRNA from 1 species